GCAAUCAUAGCGGAGGAAAAAGAAACUACAAGGAUUCCCCUAGUAACUGCGAAGUGAAGCGGGAAAAGCUCCAAAUUUAAAAUCUGGCGGUUAUGCCGUCCGAGUUGUAAUCUGGAGAAGCGUUUUCCGUGUUGGACCGUGUACAAGUCUCUUGGAACAGAGCGUCAUAGAGGGUGAGAAUCCCGUCUUUGACACGGACUACCAAUGCUUUGUGAUACGCUCUCAAAGAGUCGAGUUGUUUGGGAAUGCAGCUCAAAAUGGGUGGUAAAUGCCAUCUAAAGCUAAAUAUUGGCGAGAGACCGAUAGCGAACAAGUACCGUGAGGGAAAGAUGAAAAGCACUUUGGAAAGAGAGUUAAACAGUACGUGAAAUUGUUGAAAGGGGAAACGCUUGAAGUCAGUCGCGUUGUCUGGGACUCAGCCUUGCUUCUGCAUGGUGUAUUUCCUGGUUAACGGGCCAACAUCGAUUUUGGUCGGUGGAUAAAGUCGAGAGGAAUGUGGCACCUUCGGGUGUGUUAUAGCCUCUUGUCGGAUGCAUCGACUGGGAUCGAGGAUCGCAGCACGCCUUUUUGGCCGGGGUUCGCCCACGUAACGUGCUUAGGAUGUUGGCAUAAUGGCUUUAAUCGACCCGUCUUGAAACACGGACCAAGGAGUCUAACAUGCCCGCGAGUGUUAGGGUGGAAAACCCUUGCGCGUAAUGAAAGUGAAAGUUGGGACCUCUGUCAUGGGGGGGCACCGACGCCCGGCCUUGAACUUCUGUGACGGCGCCGCGGUAGAGCGUGUAUGUUGGGACCCGAAAGAUGGUGAACUAUGCCUGAAUAGGGCGGAAGCCAGAGGAAACUCUGGUGGGAGGCUCGUAGCGAUUCUGACGUGCAAAUCGAUCGUCAAAUUUGGGUAUA
rnacentral:rRNA from 1 species